rnacentral:rRNA from 1 species
GAUGAACGCUGGCGGCGUGCCUAAUACAUGCAAGUUGAGCGCUGAAGGUUGGUACUUGUACCAACUGGAUUAGCAGCGAACGGGUGAGUAACGCGUGGGUAAUCUGCCUUUGAGCGUGGGACAACAUCUGGAAACGAAUGCUAAUACCGCAUAAAAACUUUAAACACAAGUUUUAAGAUUGAAAGAUGCAAUUGCAUCACUCAAUGAUUAUACCCCGUUUUAUUAGCCAGUUGGUGAGGUAAAGGCUCACCAAAGCGAAGAUACAUUAGCCUCCUGGGAGGGUGAUCGGGCAACAUGGGACUGGGACAAGGCCCAAACCCCUAAGGGGGGCAGCAGUAGGGAAUCUUCGGCAAUGGACGAAAGGCUGACCGAGGAACGCCGGGGGGGGGGAGAAGGGUCUCGGAACGUAAAAACCUGUUGGUUAGGAAGAACGUUAGGGGGAGUUGAAAGCUCAUAAAGUGACGGUAACUAACCAGAAAGGGACGGCUAACUACGUG